rnacentral:rRNA from 1 species
GACGAACGCUGGCGGCGUGCUUAACACAUGCAAGUCGAGCGGAAAGGCCACUUCGGUGGUACUCGAGCGGCGAACGGGUGAGUAACACGUGAGUAAUCUGCCCUGGACUUUGGGAUAGCCACCGGAAACGGUGAUUAAUACCGGAUACGACGACUCCACGCAUGUGGUGGUUGUGAAAGUUUUUCGGUUCAGGAUGUGCUCGCGGCCUAUCAGCUUGAUGGUGGGGUAAUGGCCUACCAUGGCUUCGACGGGUAGCCGGCCUGAGAGGGUGACCGGGCACACUGGGACUGAGACACGGCCUAGACUCCUACGGGAGGCAGCAGUGGGGAAUAUUGGACAAUGGGCGGAAGCCUGAUCCAGCAACGCCGCGUGAGGGAUGACGGCCUUCGGGUUGUAAACCUCUUUCAGUACCGACGAAGCGAAAGUGACGGUAGGUACAGAAGAAGCACCGGCCAACUACGUGCCAGCCGCCGCGGUAAUAC